rnacentral:tRNA from 1 species
AUUUAAUUAGUAUAAUAAGUACAUUUAACUUCCAAUUAAAUAGUUUUUUUAAAAGAAAAAUUAAAUA